UACGAAGGGGGGCUAGCGUUGCUCGGAAUCACUGGGCGUAAAGGGUGCGUAGGCGGGUCUUUUAAGUCAGGGGUGAAAUCCUGGAGCUCAACUCCAGAACUGCCUUUGAUACUGAAGAUCUUGAGUCCGGGAGAGGUGAGUGGAACUGCGAGUGUAGAGGUGAAAUUCGUAGAUAUUCGCAAGAACACCAGUGGCGAAGGCGGCUCACUGGCCCGGUACUGACGCUGAGGCACGAAAGCGUGGGGAGCAAACAGG
rnacentral:rRNA from 1 species